UCUAGCAAGUCGUUUGUAGCCGCGGUCGCCCUGCGUCUGCCUGCCUCCUGAAUCCACCACAGCGUGCUCCCAACCCAACAAGAUCCCAAAGGUCUUCCAUUUAUUCCAGCACACCUAGGAUUUCUUUUUUGAGUGCGGCCUGUGUGUGUGUAUACGAGAGAAACAGGCAGAGCAUCAAGGGUUCGUGUGUUGCAGAGGCCGGGAGGCUGGGAGGGGGGCUUCCCAUCCCCCUGGGGCCCCUCCUCUCUCGUCAGUGUAGCCAAAGGACACAUUGACUGUGGGGUCCUCCCGUUUCCCCAGGCUAAUUACAUGCCUCUUUAUGAAAGGAAAUAGUUUCCCGGCCGAGCUGGGAAACCCAAGUCCCCGGUGCCCCCUCGUCGCGGGUAUCAUGGGAAGGACAAGAAAGGAGGCAGCUGCUCACACUUUCCUCUGCCUUCCCCGGCCUCGCCCGGGGCGCCCAACCCGGCCUGGAGACGCGGAGCGCCUCCUCCUCCACGCAGACGCCUCGGAAUCCACCUCUGGGCCGCGCUGAGAGACGCGGAUGCUGGGAGGAAACCCUGGCGAAGGAUGCGAGGAGGGCCUGCCUCCUCCGCCCGCCCAGUCCCCGGGGGCUGGGUUCAGAAAAGCGCCCCUCGUGGGAUCCUAGACAGAUGGACGCAGAGAGAAGAGAUCCCACGAUCCACAGUCGCUUCGAGACCCACAGCGAGAGGGAGGAAGCCGCUGAGCGGGGAGGGAGCCGGCCGUGGAGCCCAGGGGAGGCUGACCCUGACCCUGAGCUCGGGGCUGCCUACCCGAACUUCAACGCCUGUCUUCCAAUUCUUUGUUUUAAAAAAAAUGCCACAACUGGGGAGGCUGGGACUGGGGAAACCAUGCAGAGGAGUGAGGGGUAAGCUACAUUUGUGGUCUUUUGAUGACGAUUCAGCAACCUCUUUCCUGAGGAAAAUCUGCCCACUUGUUUAUUAUCCCUCAGUCAGUCCAGAAGCUCAGUGGUGUCCGAUGCUUUGUGAUCGCAUGGACUGCAGCACACCAGGCCUCCCUGUCCAUCACCAACUCCCAAAGUUUUACUCAGACUCAUGUCCAUCAAGUCAGUGAUGCCAUCCAACCAUUUCAUCCUCUGUCGUCCCCAUCUCCUCCAAGGAAGUCCCUCAAUUAUUAUACUUCAACUGCAGUCAACGCAGAGCUGGAUAAAGAAGCAGAGGACUGGAGACUGUGAACCCCUUGAAGGCAGAUCUCUCUCUCUCCUAUUUGAAAUCUUUAUUGAGAUAAUUGCAAAUUCACACACAAAA
ensembl:lncRNA